rnacentral:rRNA from 1 species
GACGAACGCUGGCGGCGUGCUUAACACAUGCAAGUCGAACGGAAAGGCCCUGCUUUUGUGGGGUGCUCGAAUGGCGAACGGGUGAGUAACACGUGAGUAACCUGCCCUUGACUUUGGGAUAACUUCAGGAAACUGGGGCUAAUACCGGAUAGGAGCUCCUGCUGCAUGGUGGGGGUUGGAAAGCUUCGGCGGUUGGGGAUGGACUCGCGGCUUAUCAGCUUGUUGGUGGGGUAGUGGCUUACCAAGGCUUUGACGGGUAGCCGGCCUGAGAGGGUGACCGGCCACAUUGGGACUGAGAUACGGCCCAGACUCCUACGGGAGGCAGCAGUGGGGAAUAUUGCACAAUGGGCGGAAGCCUGAUGCAGCAACGCCGCGUGCGGGAUGACGGCCUUCGGGUUGUAAACCGCUUUCGCCUGUGACGAAGCGUGAGUGACGGUAAUGGGUAAAGAAGCACCGGCUAACUACGUG